rnacentral:rRNA from 1 species
AUUGAACGCUGGCGGCAGGCCUAACACAUGCAAGUCGAGCGAGCGGCGCACGGUUGAGUAAUUUCUGGGAAACUGCCUGAUGGAGGGGGAUAACUACUGUAAACGGUAGCUAAUACCGCAUACCAUCUUAUGUGCCCAGAUGGGAUUAGCUAGUAGGUGGGGUAACGCCUCACCUAGGCGACGAUCCCUAGCUGGUCUGAGAGGAUGACCAGCCACACUGGAACUGAGACACGGUCCAGACUCCUACGGGAGGCAGCAGUGGGGAAUAUUGCACAAUGGGCGCAAGCCUGAUGCAGCCAUGCCGCGUGUAUGAAGAAGGCCUUCGGGUUGUAAAGUACUUUCAGCGGGGAGGCGUUACCCGCAGAAGAAGCACCGGCUAACUCCGUGCCAGCAGCCGCGGUAAUAC